rnacentral:lncRNA from 1 species
GCUAGUGAGCUGAUCCCAUGAAAAUAUGGGCAAAUGAUCACAUUCCUUUGGAUAAGAAAGAAGCUCAAGCACAUUUAUAUCAGCCUAGGCUCAUAUUUUGUACUGAGACAAUCUUGAAUACAAAAAUAGAAUCGUUUAAAGUAUCCCCAUUCACACCAGGUCUUGUUUAGGGGGAAAUCUAAUGAGCCACAAAUAGAAGCAUAUACUCAAGCACAUUUAUAUCAGCCUAGGCUCAUAUUUUGUACCGAGACAAUCUUGAAUACAAAAAUAGAAUCGUUUAAAGUAUCCCCAUUCACACCAGGUCUUGUUUAGGGGGAAAACUAAUGAGCCACAAAUAGAAGCAUAUACCAGGAAAUCUCAAGCAAACAAAAAAAACGCAGAAUAAUAAGACAUACAGGCAUAGAUAUGAUGCAAGCCAAAAAUCAAUCACAUGACGUGAGGGAAGCUCCCAAACCUAAUCUGAAUAACUCAGUCAAAUGGAUCUCCAUCUUUCUUCAGCCACUACACUUUGCAGACCUGAAUAUUGUGAGUGGACUGGAAUCGCCAUAUAGGCUGUCUACCACUCUGAACAAGUGCCACCUCUUCUCCCUCCUUCACCAUUCCUUGCUUCUGUACAUCAGCCAUAGAAUUCAUCAUGAAACAAGCACACAGUAGUUCAGCACACUAUAUCAAUAAUCAAUCUUUUUGCAAUAAAACAGUGGUAGAAAAGCAACAAGGUGCAUUAUGAUCAAAUGAACCAGACUCCACAGACAUCACUACCGGUAUUCUGAAUAUUAGGACUCAUGAUAAUGACAGAUGAGAAUUGUACUUAUGUUGCUCUCCAAAGUUAUUGCUCAUCACGGUAAAGGUCAUCAUCUAUCUGAAUGCCCUUUAUGUAAGCAUUUCAAAAUUGGUUAUCAUGGAAAAUCCCAAUCAUGGAAACCAAGAAAUAUACCAAUUACAACAAAUGAGCAGAAAACUAUGUUGAAGGUCAAUGCCGGUCCCACUCAAAAAUGGAUCCAAACUAGGUUGAAUUUUUUAACCCAAAAUCCCCCAAGCAUCAAGGCACCUCAGUAUCAAAAUAAUGCAUGCAGGUUUUGAACUAUUUACACAUUUUAAUCUUCAGCUGGAUACCUCUAAACAACUACUUGAAGUUUGGUCCAAAAUAACUAUAAACCAACUGAUGCAUGAAUAACUACAUCCAUAGUUACCAGCCAAUUAAAGGGAAUUUUCAUAAUGAAUUCUCCAGUAAAACCUUACCUGCAGCAAAGCUAAAGCAGUCUUAAAAGUUUCCUCCGCAUCAUCUGAGAACUCCAUGUAUAUGGGACAUACUCCUUGAUACAAAGCCAACCUCUGUUGUAUCUUUUUCCUGCAUGACCAUUAAAGUCAUUUUCAGUCAAAUUUUCAAGAUCAUAAAGCCCAGCAAUGGUAGAUACUCAUUUUCAGCCAUACACUCUUGGUCAAAUAUUGCACUUCUGAGUUCAUAGAUACUGUCAUCCUACUACCUUUUGGGAUUAAUAUUUCUUCAUCAAGCCAAACCUCCAAUGGGUUAGACCAUUAUUAUGCCAUAGUACAAGACAAAUCAGACAGAAAGCUAAAACCUGGCUCCCAACCCCCUCCACCCCACCCCCCCCCCCCCCCCCAAAAAAAAAAAAAAGAAACAGAAGGGAGGAGGCUUUAAAGCAAAUACACAGUAACAAAUAUGAGAUUCAGGAAUGGGUGAAACUCACUCAUUUGUGAAGGCAAAAAUAGUGCCAGAAGGACGAUAAUGGCUAAGUAAUAUAGCCAUGAAACCAGUUCUAGUGAAGACAACAGUGGAGAUUCCAAGAGUAUUUGACAUCAUAGUUGCAUGAUAUGCAAACAUCUCACUCGUAUGGUUCUACAGAGAAAGUAACUCCAGUCAGUAUUGAUAUUUGACAAAGAAAAACAAAGCAUUAAGAAUGUUGACCAAAAAACAAAGAAAAAAAAGGGAGUCAUAAAGCAUAUGGAAAGUGCAUGAAGCAUGUUAAGUGACCUUAAAUGCUUGACCAAGAUUAGGUGGCAUUUCACCAACAGAUAUGGUUGCUUCAGUUCGUAGUGCAACUGUAUGCAUCACUUUAACAGCUUUCAAUGGGAACCUGCAAGAGAGUGAAAUCUAUUAACUAGAGUGCACGUAGGUAGAGUAAUUUGCAUAAAGUGUUCAUACAAUAAAUUGCUCAAGAGCAAAGGUAAAGCGAGCUGGCAGAUACGACAUUCCAAUUGUAUGUCCCAAGGAAAUUAGCUAAAUUGAUUUUUAAGUAUAAGUAAUGACCAUAUUCUUCUAACUUCACCAACUAGGAUCCAAGAAUAUCCAUAUAAACCUGUCAGAUUACCUCAAGGUAAAUUUCCAAAUUAAACCAUUACUCCAAUAUAGAUCAUUAUUUAUUAGCAUAAGACAAAAUGAAAUCCUUACCUAAUUUUAAUUUUAAUAGAAAAUUUAACAAGGAUGACUUUCCAAAUAAGUAAAAGGGGAAUGACAAGGCAUAAAUUAGAAUAAAAUUCUAAAACGCCAUGUAAGUAACUUAUUAACUUACUUUCCAUGUGCUGUUUCCCCAGAAAGCAUGACAGCAUCAGCACCCUCUCGAACGGCAAUGGCAAUGUCAGAUACCUCUGCUCUUGUUGGUGUUGGAUGAACAAUCAUGCUUUCAAGCAUAUUGGUUGCCACAAUAACAGCUUUUCCCAUGCUUCGACAUGUUCUAAUUAUCUCUUCCUACAUUUUAAAAAAAGUAGAGUUUUUAGUGGCCGAAUAAACACAAUUUUCAUUUCUUUACUAGUUAAGAAAAUAUGUUUGAUAAUUCAUGUAAAUCCAGUCUUUACCGUUCAAUUGAAAACUAAACCAACCUGCAAAAGAGGAACCUCCUCGAUGGGAAGCUCUGCACCAAGAUCUCCUCUUGCAACCAUUGCCUAAAAUAUGAGAACCUGAAUUACUUUCCACAGCACAUAUAUUGCUAAAGUGGCAAUAACUAAAUUUUACUUUCAAAUCACGUUAUCGUCCAGACUUCCACCACCCUCCCCAUUACAGCAUAGAAAAUAGUAAAUAGAAGUAACAGCAAAAUCCACCAGAUGGUACUUAAUAUUUGAAAUGAAAAGCCUCACAAUAUUGUAGCACCAAUUUCCUAAAAAUUUGAAGAACUUUUUUCUUCAGCAAAGAUAGAGCUCAGAGUAUGAAAUAGUUUGAAAAAACUACACCUUUAUUGCAUAAAAUAAUAACUGUAAAAUUUAGCUGCCUUAAAGAUCCAAUGAAAAGAUUUAAGUGAUCACCCCAUCAGAUGCUGUUAUGAUUGAAUGUAAAUUUGGAAUAGAGUCAGCACUUUCAAUUUUAACAAUAACAUGAAUAUCUGCAUCACAACCUGCCAAAAGCAAAGAAAAAAAACUCAUUGGUGAAGAAUUUAAACCUUAUACCAAGUCCACAGUUGUUAUUUCCUGAAAAUACUAUAAGAAGAAAAAUGGUAACUUACUCUGCAGAUAAUUCUUCAACUCAUGAACUACUUGUGCAUCUUUAACAAAGGAAACAGCAUAAAAAUCAACUUUAUUGUCUACCCCAAAUUUUAUGUCAUCCCAGUCCUUUUCUGCAGAAAACCAACUGAAAUAGUUAAUCUGCUGCUGCCCAAGAUCCCUCAACUCAAAAGGGAGAGAGUGAGGAAAAAAAAGAGAGAAAGGAAAAGGCGAGGCAAGUGGAAAAUCUACAAAGUAAUAGAAAUGACAACAAUUAAAAUUCAAGGACCAACCAGUUAUAGAAGGCAGUGUAGCACUUUUUCCUCGGACAUUUAAAUGCCGCCUAGACUUAAGCUCACCACCAUCAACUACUUCACACUUCACUGAAUCUUCUGUCUUAGACUUCACCAUCAAUGACAUCAUGCCACCUAUAUCAUGAACCAAAAGUCAGAGGAACAUAUAAUCAACAAAAGGAAAAAGUCUACAAUGUACUUUUACUCAGCCAAUAGAAUCAACAAAAUUCCCCCAUAAUGCUGAAGAUUUCAUUUAUGACUUAGACAAAGACCCAAAAUGGAUUGAAGUGCAUUUGCAUAGGCAUAAGAUUGUAUUCCGUUCUCAUGUAUAUGUUUAGGUAGAAGACAUGCCUGACAACACUAUCAACAAGCCCCUAGCUAAAUUAUUAAGAACUUGACAGAUGAGGUGAAAACCUUCUAAUUCAUUUCUAGAUCAUUAAAUUCUUUCUUCAGCAAAUGCUCCCAAGGACCAGAUUACAUAUUUGCAGUCUUAGGCUCUUGCUAAUUGUAUCAUAAUACUAAAAGCAUAUCAUAUUUUCAGACUAAAGGGAAAAGACGAGUAUCAGUCUAGAACUGAUCUACAUUAUUCUUGAAAAGUUCGAUAUGACUUUGCUCAUGCAUGCUGGCUGCUGGUUUCAUGGGAGAGGGGGGACUAAGAUUAAGCAAUAUAUAAAACAUCAAAAAGUUAAAAAAACCUGCAUAGUUUAACAGUCUGUUGAAAGUAUCAAGGUAGCAUACCAUCAACAAGAAGCAUGUCGCCCACUUCUACAUCAUUAACGAAAUCGUCAUAGUUGACACUAACACAAUCAGGUGUCCCAAUCCCUCUCCGAAUUGUAAAAGUAAAUUCUUGCCCAGUUGUUAAUGUAAUUGGUUGGGGCAAGUCGCCACUCCUAACCUCAGGACCCUUAUAAACAGAACCAAAUAUUCAUAAGAACACAAUAAAUGAAAAGGAUUAGAACUAUCGCAAGAAAAUUACAUAACAUGAGUUAUAUUAUUGUUGCCUACAACACUAUAUCCGACCAAUUAUAAAUCUGGAUGACUUCAUUAUAUUAGCAACAAUAUACUUUACAACCUUGUACAAUUGUGAGAUACUAAAUUUAAUUGCUCAUAACCUCACAAGGAUAACAAAUAAACGGAGGCAAAAACUAUAUGCACAUGCAUGAACAGAUGUAUUUUAUAUUACAACCUCCCUCAUUUAAUUGCCCAAAACAGAAGCUGACAAAUAUACUGUCACUUGUACAUGCUUGCUAGGCUUACUCCAGAAUAGACUGCUAUGGUUAAAACCAUAACAGAGCCUGUUCAAAAUCCAAGAAAAAUUUUGGCAAGUUCAUUUAAGUCUAUGAUAAGGGCAUUAUUUAAGAGGACAAAGUCCUGACAAUAAUUUUGGAAAAGAAAGAUUCAUGCCGUGUCUAACUCUCACAAUACCAAACUCAUUGACUAAGGCAACCAGACAUAACGGCUUUACACAGUAAAUAAAUGAAAUCAAGGGAAACUUGCCUUGGUGUCAAGCAUGAUUGCCAGAGUGUUGUCUUUGGAUUGUGCAUUAUACUCCUUAACUAAAUCAAUAACUUUCUGAUGAGAUGCAUGGUCUCCAUGAGACAUAUUCAAACGAGCAACGUUCAUUCCAGCCUCGGCCAAUUUCCAUAUCAUUUCUCGCGUGUUUGUUGAAGGGCCAAUAGUGCCAACAAUCUUUGUUUUACGUCUAACAAUAGGCUUGGACCACAUACCCACUGAUGUGUCGCCUAAUUGUUGAAUCUCCCUUAACUGCUCAUACUGCUUCCCCCUCUGAAGGAAAAAAUGGUAAGAAAGGUUACAAAUAAUGAUUCCAACAAAUUUCUCUCAGCAACUGUCCACAAUAAGUUAUUUGAUUACAGAUAUAAUAACAAUAAAAACAUAGUGACUACGUCAUGCAACAGCAAAGGCUCAUCCUAUACCAGAGUAAAUAAGAAAAAAAAACUUGAAUUUCUGAACUACAACAUGUAAUUCAGACUUCAUCAUUCUAACCAAAAAAAUUAGGAUGUUAUAAACUUCAAGGCUACUUUUCUUUUGCUGGAAAAGUGGAAAUGGGUGGAUAUCAUGCCCCUUUCAUUCAUCUUUUAUGUAAUUGAUAUUUUAAAUAAUUCCUUUAGCACAAAGAUAGGUAUAUAACCCACAGUAUACCAAAAACUGACUUGUAACAAGAUCUCACUGGAAAUUUUGACUUGAGUCCUCAGUUUUUCUCAUGAUUUGGUUUCUUGUUAGUAAAUGUAACAGUCUCAACAGUCUCAGUAAAGUAUCUAUAGUACAUAGUACAUAGUGGCUAGCAGAUUUCCCCAUUUCAGAAAAAAAAAAAAUCCACAUUUCUAUCUGUGGAUGGUACAAAUUUCGAUAAUAGGAAAAUGGAUUUUCAACAAACCAAAUAGAACCUUAUUCAACUUGACUAUAUUGGGGAGAUGAGGCAAACCUUGAGUUAGGAGCACACCAAAGGAGCCCAUACAUACAUGUAGGACACCACUUCAACCCAAAAGCCUAAGCUAUUUGGUUCUUGGAUCUUCCAUGUAUAUAUGUCACCUUACAUCCCACUUUUUAUUGAUGUGAGAUGUGUCACACUCGCAUGUGAACCUCAACUGUCCCUCCCAUUUACUUGUGAGUUGUGAUCAGCUCCCCAUGCAAGUAAGCUGUCAAUGCACCCUUAGGCCCAACACUCAUCCUCGCAUCUCUAGUGCGUCUGAUUGUGUUAGUGCAACCUUAGAUCACCUGUGAGUCUAGGUUGUCUCAGUGCCCUUUAAGCUUGCACUCGACCAUAGGUUGUCUCAACACACCACCUUGUUGUUUGUUCAGAAAUAAUACAUCACCAUACUUGCCGCAUCCAAUUCAAACCUUUGGCUUUGAUACCACCACCAUACUUGCCACAUCCAAGUCAAUCCUUCGGCUCUAAUUACACUUGCUGGGAAAUGAGCCAAACCUUAAGUACAUAUAUACAUGUUGAACACCACUUGAACCUAAAAACUUAAGUUAUUCUCUAUUGGUUUCUUGGAAGAUUCCAUGUAUAUCCCACUUUCCACUUUUUAGCUGAUAUGAGAUACAUAAGUGAACCCACUCACAUGAAAACCUCAAUAGCCUGCAAUCCAUCUUAUCACUCCACUUAUGACCUAAACGAUUUUCAGCCUAUUGCUUUCUUAGUUCCUGACUUAAUCCAGAAACAUUAACUAAGAUUUUAAGAAGGUCAAUUUUUUUUUUUCUUUUCGCAUGCUUUAUCAGUAAUCAAACACAUAAGAAAAGAGGACGAUCAGAAAGGUUCUAAGUCGGCACAAACCUUCGGUACAUCCUCGGAUGAUACGGGAAUAACUUCAGGCUCGGCACGUGCGGGGCUCUUAGCUGUAAUCCGAGAGCUACACCUAAGCACCAUUCUCUCGCUCUUCUUGUCACCACGUGCCAGCACUUUCGAAGCGAAGGUCGCUGGCUUAAGCUUCUCCACUCGCUCUUGACUGGAUCCGGGGCCCUGGCUCAAGAAUGAACCGUGGAUCGAUCUAGUGGCCACCACUUGAGCCAUUGCUAAAACGAGAGAGGCAGAGAGAGAGAGAGAGAGAGAAAACGAAAACGUGUAAAAGGAGAGGAAGACGAUGAAAGGUGUGGGAUUUUUAUUGACUAUUAAGAAAGAAAAUGGAUGUUGGAGAAAUCGCCGCUAAUUUUGGAGCAAGCUGAAAACACAGACUUAAAAGGAGGCUGGGAAAUGGAAAUGAAGAGAGCAUAGAUUGCAUCGACAAUAGUACGGAGGUUUUUAUUCAUCUCCUUUAACUAUUUUUUUCAAAACGGUUGGGAAUUUGACAAUUUGUUAUUGUCAAGGAAAAUACGACGUCGGCAGGAGUUGGAUUGAACCCUUUGAUGUGAGACGACGUCGUUCGGCUUGUCGCUUUUAGAAUUCCGUUCCGAAAUUCCGCAUAGAUUAUGACUUUGAAAGGGAAAAAUCGAAUUCAAAAUUUUUUUCUUUUUAAAAUUCCAUUUUAUUUCAUUGAAUAUUUUACUUCGUAAAAAAUUAUUAACUUUGUAGUUUUAAUAAUAAUCACAGUUGGCAAAUAAUCAAAAAAUAAAAAAAAAUUCAUGGAGCUCUUGUUUUACUAUUAUAAUAAAACACAUAAAAAUUAUUUUGUUUUUAAACAAAUUAAGGCAUGUUAGUUUUGAACUUAUUACUUUUGUGUUCUUUAAUAAAUUAAAAAUGAGCAUAUCUUAGAAUUGUAACAGAACUUGAACACGUAAGGUCUGCAAAGUUAAAGGGUGAAAUUUUUUAUUGUUUAGCUUGCGUAUAAAUGCAAUUUAAUUUUUAAGUUAUGAUUGUAAUUGAGUUAAAUGAAUAAAUAGUACUAUUAAUAAUAUAUUACGGAUAAAUAUUUUUUAAAAUAAAAUCCAUACACUUAUAUUAAUCAACCAUUUAAAAAAAAAACAAUGCAAAUAAAAUUGAUCACAAAUAAAAAAAUAAAGUGAUAAACAAAACAUAAUUGUUAAAAUAAAUAUAAAAAUUAACUAAUCUUGUUACUUUUGAAUAAAUUUUAUAAUUAUUAAAAUAAAUAGAAAAAUUAACGAAUCUCUUUGAUAAAGUUAAUUAUCCCAACAUAAUAGGUUGGUGAAAAUUUUGCUACAACAAUAUUAGAAAUUUGAUAAAGUUGAUUAGGAUAGUUUAAUAGAUUGAUUUAUAUGUGAGUCAGUUUGCUAAAAUUUAUUAACCAUUAUUAUUAAAUAAAUUGUAAUAAUAAUAAAAAUAUAUAAAUUAUUUAAAAUAACAAUUUAAAUGAAUAACAAUAUCCAUUUUUGUCAUUUAAUUUUUUUUUUUCACAUCCAUGCUUUUAUACGUAUAUAUUAUAAAUUAUAGAGGUAGGUCAGAAAUUUAUAUGCCUUAACGGGCCUAAUGGGCCUUUAAAUCGAAGUAAUCUAUUCCAUAUAACGGACUUAAUGGGCGGUUCAUGAUUAGAAGAAGGCUAUGGAUUCUCUUUGUUAUAUCUUAAAGGGCCUAAUGGGUCUGUAAAACGACGUAAUCUAAUCUAUUUAAUGGACCUAAUAGGAGGCCCAGGAAUCAGGACCAGAAGAAGGCUAGGGCUUUUCUUUUUUAUUUCCUCGUUGUUGAUGUUAAUCCACUGACCAUAUUCUUCCACGUCUCUUGUAUGCUCGAGCCUCAUUAUACCCUACAGCACCUGAUCCCAUCUUCGGAUACAUUCAAAAGCGCAGGAAAUCUCGUAUUACAGUUGGCACCACAAGAGCCCUAAUCGGCCAAUCUUCCAACAGUAACAUGAACCUUUUUCUUCAACCAUGUUCACCUUCGCACCUCUCUCGCAAAAAUUUUUUUAGGUCUCAUCAUCCUUCCAAAUUUCUUCUGAUCUGAUUCCUCCAUCACCCAAAACCCUAGCCCCUAAUAGUUUCUUCUCAAACCCCCAAUUCGAAAGAGAAAAAUGGACAUGGAGGGCUUAUCAGGGAUCUGCGCCAGUCUUGACAUCCUCGAGGAAGACUAGAUAACGAGGCAGUUAGGGCGAUCACUGUCUAGGUAUCAUUUGCCCCUAUUGAAGUGAAUUUUUGUUUAAUUUAUGUAUUCUGAUUUGAAUAAUCUUAUUUCAAAUAACUUACUUGAAGAUGCAUUGAAGGAUUUACUGAGGUUUUUAAGAAUGGACGAUCCACAAAGGCGUGAAGUAUUUAAGCAAGUUUGCAGGUGGAAUAUUGUUUCAAAAAACUUUAUUCCAAUUAUUGAACACUGGCAACAUUAUUUGGUGUUAAAUGCAGGUUGGUAAAGUUUUGAUGUUAGGGUUUUUCGGUCAUUUAAAAAAAAAAGCGUAGUAAAUGCUACUUGCUUGGUAUUGUUAUCCUUCUGCUUUGAAUUCUUCAGUGAAAGCUUUAGUUUUUCUUUCAAUGCCUAUCGAGCUUUCCUCCAGUGAUAUCCUUCAACAGAUAAAGUAUCUUUGGAAUAUGAAGGUUUCUCUCACGAGCAGUGAAGGUGUUGCAGUUACAGUUUCCCUUCUUGAAGGUCCCUUUGAAAAUUUGGAAUGGUAAGCAAGAAAUGGACCCUUUAAUUGCUAAGUUAAGGUGCAGGAAAAAGGAAAAGAAAUUAGAUGUUGUUCGCAAACCAACCUAAAAUGUUGGUUACCAAAAAUGAAUGAGUUCAACUGUUUUGAAACCUUCAGAAACAAAGGUCUAGCUAAGCUGUUAGAUGCUGUGAUACAGGACGGUCAUUUUUUUCAUGUACAUGUAAAGCAAUUGUGCCAUUAGAUUAGAUCGUUAGCUGUUGUGUUGAUAUCAGCGUUAAUGGUUAACCCUUUAAAUUUCAGUGAAGUAUUCAAAGAAGAUGACUAGAAAUUGCUCCAGCUGGUAGUCACCUUAUUUCACAACAUUCUUGCCAUCCAAGAUAUGUCAUCCUUACAAAAGGCUGGCCAAUUUUUUUAUCAUUGGGAAGACAGAUUUCUUGAAUUUUUGUUCUGUGAGAAUGUAAUGGAUUUAAUUAUAGUUAAAACUCAGCAGAGUGGUGGUUCUCGUAGCUAUCUUCAACAUGAUAACUUGCUUCUAUUAGAAAUUUUUCAUUACAUAUUUAUAGGGCAAGAACUGGAGUUGCUUUCCAAAGCUCAUUUGAAAUGUUCUGAUGUUUGUUUCCCUUUAUUUUUGUCUAAUUUCAUCUGAUUGUUCAGUUUAUUAAUGCAAUUCACAAUUCCACAUGCUUACUUGUUUCUAUUGAAUUCUGUAUUAUAGGAGGGUGCAGAUGCCAAGGCUUUCAUUGAUGGUCUCAAGUCCAUCAUGGAAGAGGAAGCAAAGAAAAGAAGGGCUUCAAGACUCCACUAUACUGGUCACCAUUCACACUUUAGGGGAACAUUUAGACGGCUUACUAUGGUAUGUAGUAUCAUUGUCAUUGACGUCGCUGAUACUUUGCAGGAGUUGCAUCAAUAAAUUUUAUGACUAAUCAUGUUCUGUGUGAAAGGAUGGUUCUAAAGCAGUGUAUAAAGGAAACCCUGAUUAUCCUUUUGAAAAUUCUUUGCUUUGUUGAGAAUUAAGAGCUUGUCUCACAAACUGGAAGCUUUAAUAUAUAUACAAAAAUUUAAAAUAUUGUACAAAAAAUAUAAAAAGAUUUAUAGUGGUUCACUCUCAAUACAAGAGUUACGUCCACUUUUAAAACUAUUGUAGAAAUUUUAUUAUGAUAAGUAUGGAAAAUUACAAAAGAGAAGAAAUAUCUUUUACUUCUUAUAUUUUCACUAGCUCUCUAACUCUUUAUUUUCUUUUUCUCUUACUUUUCACUUUCUCAUUUAAUGCUUGCACAUAAAAGCACAAGCCAAGGUCCUCUUUUAUAGAUGGAGUUCAAGGCUUUUAUUAAUUACAACUUCUAUUAGUCAAUUAUCACUUAACUUCUACUAACAAUUUACAAUUAAUGAUUUACAACAAUCAACUUCCAUCUUCAAUAAUAAAUGAAAAUUGAAUUUGUUUCCAUAUCUUCUAAUAAUAUAUGUUAUCAUUUUUGGCUUGCAAGUCAAGCUUUUAAUUUCCAACAACUGGUAUUAAAGAAGAUUGAAGUUUGUUAGGUGGCAUUGUUCAAGUAUAUAGCACUGUUUAUGUAUACGCUACUGCUCAUGUAUAUGAAAAUUUAGUGAUGUAGAUAAAUACGAUUUUAAGAUAUUUGUCUAAUGAGAAUAGUAAGAUUGAUUUUAAGCCUUUCAAUCUUUCUUAGGAACCUACCUAGUGGGACAAUUUUCGUAAUUUCAUGAUUAAAAGCAAUGGCUAGCGAAGAAGCUAUAACAUAUAGAAUCAACAAAUUUGAUGGAACAUUCUUUUUGGAAAAUGCAAAUGGAAGAUUAUCUAUUCAAUGGAAAGUUGUGUUUAUCACUUCUAGGCAUGAAAUCAAAAAAUAUGUCAUACGAAGAUUGUAAGCUCCUUGACAGAUGGGUGUUGGAGUCAUUCAACUAACACUAUCAAAGAACAUAGCUCACAAUGUUGCCAAGGAGACAUUGACCACAGAUUUGAUGAAGGCAAAGAUUUAAAUAGCGAUUGUGGGGUACGUUUUCGGUUGCAUCACAUUUAUCGAGUUUUCGAAUAUAACGAAGAUCAUUGUGGUCAUCAAGAUCAUCGUGAUCGUGAAUUUUUUUUAAUUUUACACAAUUUAUUAUAAAAUGUGAUAAUUAUAAUUAUAAUCAUAAAAACUCUUAUUUAAUGAUUUUUAAAAUUUUUAUAUAUAUCAUAUUAAAUUAUUAAUCUCUUAUUUUUUUUAAUUAUGAAAUCUCAAUCUCUCUAACUAAAUUUGAUCUAAAAAUAUUUUAAAAAUUACAAAUUUUUAAAUUUAUAUUUUAAUAAAAUUAAUUAUAAAAUUAAAUAAAAUCUACCCACCCCACCUUACCUCUUAAUGUACCUCACCUUACCCGAUCCCAUCCCACCCCAUUUAUAUCUCAGCAACACCCCCCCCCCUUAAAUAAAAUCUACCCACCUUACCUCCCAAUGCACCCCACCCUACUUGAUCCUACCCCACCAAUUUCUAUCUCAGCAGCCCUAGCCCCUGACCCAUUCUUUGAUGCACACUCAAACACCCCCCAAAUUUCCCCAAAAUUUUCCCUAUUCUUCACGUCAUUGCCUCGCCUCAACCCUUUAGCCCUCCCUCAAAUCAACUUAACCAAGCUUAUCAAGUCUUCUUCUUCUCUCUUUUUUUUCAUCUCUCUUUUGCAUACUCUCAUCUCUCUCACUCAGAUUUUCGCAAACACAAAUAUCAACAUUAUUCUAUAAAAAUUUUAAAGAAAAAAGGUAACUUAAUUUUUUUCUUAUCUUCUUUUAUUUUGAUUGUUGAUUAAAGACUUAGGACUUAUUUAAAUUUAGGUAACUGCCUGUCGAUUGAAUGGGUGAUAUUGUUUUUUAAGUUUUUUUAGAUUGAUUUUGAAAUUGAAACUGAGAAUAUAACGACUUAUCUUUUCUUUUGACUUUUGUUUUUACUUUUACUUUUGCAGUCUUAAUUGUUAGCAGAUUGUGUUAAAAGUUUUUUUUUAUUUUAUACUGAUUAUUGGUGAUGGAAAAAUGGGAUAACGGCAAUAACGGACUGUUGUUGCUGCUAUUCCACGUUACGCCGUUUUUUAGUGACCAUUACACAUUAUUUUAAGUGUGAUUAAAUUUCUCAAUCGUGUUUUUCUCGAUGGCGGUGACGGGUGGUGGCACGAUCGUAAUUUCGCGGCCGUUAUUUGAAUCAUUGGAUGAAGGUACUCUCUAAUAUGCAUGAAAAACCUAUUGUAAAUGAUAAGGUUUUUCUCACAAAAAAGUUAUUCUAUUUGAAGAUGGCUGAAGGUGCUUCAGUGGCAUUGCAUCUUAAUGAGUUUAACACAAUUGUCAAUCAAUUGACUUUCGUUGAAAUUGAUUUUGCUAAUCAGAUUCCUGCCGUAAUUCUUCUGGCAUCCCUACCAAGCAACUGGAAGCUUGUGACGACAACGGUUAGUAAUCCUAUUGGUAUUGCAAAAUUGAAAUUUAAUGAUGUUAAAGACCGAAUUCAUGUUGAAGAAAAUCAUAGAAAUGACUCUAGUGAAGCGACGACUUUGGAUUUUGUCUUAAAUCAUAAGAAUUGAGGUAGAGCAAAUAACAGAAACUCUAAUUGAAACGAUAGAAUAUCAAAGUCCAAAAACGGAAAAGUAAUUCUAAAGUUAGACAGAAUAUGAAGUGUUGGAACUAUGAAAAGAUAGAUCACACAGAAACAAUGCUAUUUUUGGAAGUCAAAGUCAAAAUAUGUGAAAGUUGUAUUUUUGGAAAACAAAAAAGACUUUAGGUUCCCAAAAGUUGGAAGGGAGUUGAAAAAAAAAAUUAGAGUUUUAUUCAAAAAAAAAAAAAAUAGAGUUGGUCCUUGACAUAUGAGGGCUUUCACUAGUUACUUCUCUUAAAAGGUUCAGUUACUAUUUAACAUUUAUUAAUGACUCAACCAAUAAGAUAUGGGUUUAUUUUCUAAAGAAUAAAUCCAAUGUGUUUGGUGCAUUUAAACGGUGGAAUGCCAUGAUUAGAAUGAAACAAAUCUAAAAGUGAAAUGUUUGAAGUCCGACAAUAGGGGAGAAUAUUUUGAUAGUAAUUUCAGACAUUAUUGUGUCGAGAAUGGGAUCAAGAUGUUGAAAACCAUUCCAAGGACACCUCAGCAAAAUGGACUAGUCGAAAGGAUGAACGGAACUCUAAAUGAGCAUACAAGAAGUAUGAGAAUUCACAUAGGGCUACCUAAAGCAUUCUAGGCAAAUACAGUCAACAUUGCUGCUUUCUUGAUCAAUAAAGGUCCUUCAGUACCUUUGGAUUGCAAAAUACCAUAAAAGGUUUGUAGUGACAAAAAGUUAAAACUCUCAUUUUUAAAAGUGUUUGGAUGUCUUGCAUAUGUUCAUAUUGAUGAUGCUGCCAAAAGUAAUUAAUUGAAAUCUAAGAAAUGCUAUUUCAUUGGUUAUAGAGAAACUGAGUUUGGUUAUCGUUUUUAGGAUGAUCAAAAUAAAAAAAAAAAAUUAUCAAGAAUAGAGAUGUAAUCAUAAAUGAGCAAAUUCUAUAAAAAGACAAAUUAAGUAAGAUUUCAAAAACUAUAGAUUUUGAAACAAAAAAGUUUAGAGAUAAUUCAUUUGAAAGAUUUUCCAGUGAAUGAUUUACAAUAAAAUUCUUGAGAAACUCAAGUAAACACACCUACAGAAGCACAAGAGAAUAUAGUCACAGAUAUCGAUCAAUCGACUCCAAUAAUAGAACUCAAAAAGUCUUCAAGGAUAAUCAGGCCGCCAUAGAGAUUGUCUCCCUUGCUAAAUUACAUUCUUUUAACUGACAAAGGUGAACUAGAAUAUUAUGAAAAAGCAAUGCAAAUUGUUAAUUUAAUCAAGUGUGAACUAGCCAUGAAAGAUAAAAAGGAUUUGUUGAUGUCGAACCAAACAUAGCAGUUAGGAAAACUACCAGCAAAAAAGAAAGCAUUGCAAAAUAAAUAAGCUUACCGAAUAAAAAAACAUGAUGGUAGUAAACAAUAUAAAGCAAGGCUAAUGGUAAAAGGUUUUCAACAAAAGAAAAAAAGAUCUACAUGCAACAGCCACAAGGUUAUGAGGUCCAAAGAAAAAAGAAAAUGGUGAGCAAGCUUCUAAAAAGCUUAUAUGGUCUAAAACAAGCUCCUAGACAGGUAAAAGAAG